CGACGGCAGCACGGGAGCAAUCCUGGUGGCGAGUGGCGAACGGGUGAGUAAUGUAUCGGAACGUACCUUUCAGUGGGGGAUAACGUAGCGAAAGUUACGCUAAUACCGCAUAUUCUGUGAGCAGGAAAGCAGGGGAUCGCAAGACCUUGCGCUGAUUGAGCGGCCGAUAUCAGAUUAGCUAGUUGGUGAGGUAAAGGCUCACCAAGGCGACGAUCUGUAGCGGGUCUGAGAGGAUGAUCCGCCACACUGGAACUGAGACACGGUCCAGACUCCUACGGGAGGCAGCAGUGGGGAAUUUUGGACAAUGGGCGCAAGCCUGAUCCAGCCAUGCCGCGUGAGUGAAGAAGGCCUUCGGGUUGUAAAGCUCUUUCAGCCGGGAAGAAAACGCAUGGGUUAAUACCCUGUGUGGAUGACGGUACCGGAAUAAGAAGCACCGGCUAACUACGUGCCAGCAGCCGCGGUAAUACGUAGGGUGCGAGCGUUAAUCGGAAUUACUGGGCGUAUAGCGUGCGCAGGCGGUUUGUUAAGAUAGGCGUGAAAUCCCCGGGCUCAACCUGGGAACUGCGUUUAUGACUGGCAGGCUAGAGUAUGGCAGAGGGGGGUGGAAUUCCACGUGUAGCAGUGAAAUGCGUAGAGAUGUGGAGGAACACCGAUGGCGAAGGCAGCCCCCUGGGCCAAUACUGACGCUCAUGCA
rnacentral:rRNA from 1 species